rnacentral:misc_RNA from 1 species
GAAGACCUCAGUCCUCUAUUAUCGAAGGAGGGAAGAAGACCUUUUGUGCAAAAAUCGACAAAUGCACCUUUGUUAGUUAAUUCAGAAAAUAAAAAUAGACAAGCUAGUCAGGUGCUGGUAUCUUCAAGCAUAGCAUCUGAUGAAGAAGAAACCGAAAAACCUUUGAAUAGUUCAUCUCUGUUGAAAGAAUCGAUUGGCCACACAGAGGUUGAAGUCAUAGCAGGUGCAUUGCUAGGUUUCUGUGUAAGUUUGGCAGUG